ensembl:lncRNA
ACACACACACACACACACACACACACACACACACAGAGCCUAAAGGGAAUAGUAUUUGUGCCAUGGAGUGUUAACAAGAAUCUGAGGUCCAUAUUACAAAAGCUGCUAAAAUCAUAAAAGGUUGCAGAAUUGUAAUAAAUGAUGAAUAUGAAUUAGUGGUCUGUGAUAGUGUAUUAAUUUGUAGGGAAAAAACACAUGUUGCCCAAGGUGUAAUUGAACCCACGACCUUUGGGUUGCAGACCUGUGUCAUUACCAACUGCGCCACUGGGAAAGAGAGCGAGCGCCUGGAAAACAGGGUGAUGAGCAGUCAGAAUCAGAUUGCGGUGAGAGGCGAAAAACGCCGUUUUUUGCAGUUACAAAACGUCGUGUAACUCAAAAACUAGGUGGGAUAGAAGCACAAUUCUUGUACUGGGUGAAUCAGC